rnacentral:pre_miRNA from 1 species
AGUGAAAUUGCUGGAUCAUAUUAUAACUCUGUUUAACCUUUUGAGGAAUGGCUAGGUUGUUUUCCAAAGUGGCUGUGCCAUUUUACAUUCUACCAGUCAU